UACGGAGGGAGCUAGCGUUGUUCGGAAUUACUGGGCGUAAAGCGCACGUAGGCGGCUUUGUAAGUUAGAGGUGAAAGCCUGGGCUCAACCCCAGAAUUGCCUUUAAGACUGCAUCGCUUGAAUCCGAGGAGAGGUGAGUGGAAUUCCGAGUGUAGAGGUGAAAUUCGUAGAUAUUCGGAAGAACACCGAGUGGCGAAGGCGGGCUCACUGGACUGGUAUUGACGCUGAGGUGCGAAAGCG
rnacentral:rRNA from 1 species